CGUGUGUAGGUGAUGAUGCAUGAGGCCGGAUGUCAAAGUACACCCCCCCCCCUCUACACUCGCUAGGUGUAAGGAAGGAUAAAGAUAGAGAGACGCAGUAAUGCAGGGCAGUUCUAUCUCCGAGGGCGACCUGUCAACAUUCGUAAGAUGAAUUUCCGCCUCGUUAUUGUGAUGCUGAUCUUGGCAGCGAUGAUGAACCUGGUUCUGGCAACACCGCUCUUCGGGUUCCGCUCCAGGGAGGACGCGCGCGGGACGAGGAGACGGUCCCCCUGGCGGCCCCAUCACGAUGAUCGCUACUGGCACGGCUUCGACAUCUACGGCUACACAAGGAAUGGAUAAGGUUGUGACAAGGCAGAGCAGGGCCACGACAGAACACAGCUUGAUUUAAGAUGAAACGGACCGACAUCUGUAACCCAACAGUUACGUAAUUAUUUCGAAGCACAAUGCAAUAACCAAAGAAACGGGAUUUAUAGCUGUAUUUUUUAUAUAUUUAAUUUUCAAAUGCUUGAUAUCAUACCCGAUUGAUUGUUGUUUGUAAAGUAAAGAUUAUAUAAUACCUAUACAAAAGUAUUAACUAUAUGUAGAACAUUUAUGUGUAGUAAUAUUUAUAUUAUUUUUUCGGUUUUGUUCUUCAUCCCUUCAUAUCACUAUUUAUGUAACACAUUCAAUUAAUUAUGUUCAGUGUGAGUAAUAAAAUGUUAUAAGGAA